CAAACUGCAGCUACACAAAAGAACAGUUUGUUCUGCUUCCAAUAUGACAAUAUUUACCUGCCAUGGACAGCAGAACGUGGCAGAUGAAAAUGAUGGAAGCAAGGCUCAUUAGGAUUCCAUGUCCUUUGAAUGGUACAGCUGGAAAGAAGGAGAGAGACAGAGAUUCUCCUUUGUUUUGAACUUUCAGUUGGACCAAAGACUUGUGCUUCAGAAAAGCAAUGCUGCUCUCCCAAAGGCCAUCCUUCACUUCUGUUCUGCCUCGUUGCCUCGCCUCCCCACAUGAGAGAAAACCCCCAACCAUAUCGUCUCCCUCGAGCUCUAAGAAAACAGGUAAUGAUGCAUGGAUGUGCAAUGAAAUUUCAAAAAUGUGCACUGACUUUUUAGAAAUAUGCCAACUGUCAAAUAAAAAAUAAAAUUAAAAAUCA
rnacentral:lncRNA from 1 species